rnacentral:rRNA from 1 species
AUUGAACGCUGGCGGCAUGCCUUACACAUGCAAGUCGAACGGCAGCACGGGAGCAAUCCUGGUGGCGAGUGGCGAACGGGUGAGUAAAGUAUCGGAACGUACCCUGUUGUGGGGGAUAACUAGUCGAAAGAUUAGCUAAUACCGCAUACGACCUGAGGGUGAAAGUGGGGGACCGCAAGGCCUCACGCAGCAGGAGCGGCCGAUGUCUGAUUAGCUAGUUGGUGGGGUAAAGGCCCACCAAGGCGACGAUCAGCAGCUGGUCUGAGAGGACGAUCAGCCACACUGGGACUGAGACACGGCCCAGACUCCUACGGGAGGCAGCAGUGGGGAAUUUUGGACAAUGGGGGCAACCCUGAUCCAGCAAUGCCGCGUGUGUGAAGAAGGCCUUCGGGUUGUAAACUGCUUUUGUACGGAACGAAAAGGUUUGGCCUAAUAAGCUGAGCUCAUGACGGUACCGUAAGAAUAAGCACCGGCUAACUCCGUGCCAGCCGCCGCGGUAA